CUCAAUUCCACAUAGGAAAGCAUUGAAAAGCAUUUUCAAUGCUUUUCUAUGAGGAGCUCUAAUGCGCAUGCGCGGCAUUGCUGUGCAUGCGCAUUACGUCUCCCCGGCCGGUGGGCAGGAUCAGUCUCGCCCACCGGCCAAUGUAAUGCAGAGGAGGAGCGGCAGCGGAGGAAGAAGCAGCGACGUGGGACAUGUCGCUGCCUCUG